AUACGGAGGAUGCAAGCGUUAUCCGGAUUUAUUGGGUUUAAAGGGUGCGUAGGCGGUUUGCUAAGCGGGAGGUGAAAUGCCGGCGCUCAACGUCGGAAGUGCCUCCCGAACUGGUGGACUGGAAUGACUCUGCCGUGGGAGGAAUGUGUAGUGUAGCGGUGAAAUGCUUAGAGAUUACACAGAACACCGAUUGCGAAGGCAUCUCACGAAGGGUUGAUUGACGCUGAGGCACGAAAGCGUGGGGAUCAAACAGGAUUAGAUAUCCUGGUAGUCCACGCAGUAAACGAUGAUGGCUAACCGCUGGUUUAUUCGGAUCAGUGGCCAAGCGAAAGCGAUAAGCCAUCCACCUGGGGAGUACGACCGCAAGGUUGAAACUCAAAUGAAUUGGCGGGG
rnacentral:rRNA from 1 species